rnacentral:rRNA from 1 species
AUCCUUCUUCAGUAGGUGAACCUGCGGAAGCAUCAUUG